GUUUCUUUAUGAUGACCGGUUUCGAAAUGGUUUUGGAGCGCCAGGAAACCGAGUCUGAAAUUGGGAGAU
rfam:Ophiophagus hannah scaffold3161.1, whole genome shotgun sequence.